AAAAAAAAAAAAAAAAAAAAAAAUUUUUUUUUUUUUUUUUUUUUUUAAAGGAAUCCGUUGUAGUGAUCUUGGAUCUACGUUUGCAAAAACUUUUUAUCCUGGCGGUUCAUAACUUUAGAGUUAAUCUAUAUGAUAUUUUGUACUAUUUUAAUAGUCGAACUUUAUGUAGAAAUAAAUCUAUCGUAAUGUGACCAGAGACAAAGGUGGAAGCAGCUUACAAUGAAAUAAUUUGAUGGGCUAUAAAAUUUUUUUUUAAAAAAAAAGCAGACGGAAGGGCUUUAUUCGACCCGUCUUGUAACACGGACCAAGGAGUCCAG
rnacentral:rRNA from 1 species